rnacentral:rRNA from 1 species
CCUACGGGGGGCUGCAGUGGGGAAUAUUGGACAAUGGGGGCAACCCUGAUCCAGCCAUGCCGCGUGUGUGAAGAAGGCCCUCGGGUUGUAAAGCACUUUCAGUGAGGAAGAACGCCUGGUGGUUAAUACCCAUCAGGAAAGACAUCACUCACAGAAGAAGCACCGGCUAACUCCGUGCCAGCAGCCGCGGGAAUACGGAGGGUGCGAGCGUUAAUCGGAAUUACUGGGCGUAAAGCGCGCGUAGGUGGCUUGAUAAGCCGGUUGUGAAAGCCCCGGGCUCAACCUGGGAACGGCAUCCGGAACUGUCAAGCUAGAGUGCAGGAGAGGAAGGUAGAAUUCCCGGUGUAGCGGUGAAAUGCGUAGAGAUCGGGAGGAAUACCAGUGGCGAAGGCGGCCUUCUGGACUGACACUGACACUGAGGUGCGAAAGCGUGGGUAGCAAACAGGAUUAGAUACCCUUGUAGUC